UCUUCGCUGAGAUCAUUUCCUUCCAGAGUUCUUCCACACUGGCAUCGAAUAUCCAAAUUGUCAGUCCAGGAUCAAUCACGGCCCUGGGCCCGCAGGUCUAUAAGUCUGACCACUGGGCAGAUCACUAAAGCCCCGCCCAGUGUGAUUUUACAAUCCCUGAGUACUCUGAGCAGUGUUUCUGGGUGGAAACUUGGGACAGUCCUUGUCCAUCAUACAGAUUCUCAUCACCCAAAACUUCCAGAUAAACAAUACCGACAGUCUAAUAAACCUGGGCUCUUUAGUGGGAGGUCUUCCUACCCAAACACUCACCGCAAUACCCGCGCAGCAGGUUCUAACAACAUCCGCCAACCCAAAAUGUGUUACCAACAUGCUGACUGCUCCAACAAUUGUGAAACAGAUCUAUGUUAAUAAGGUAUGUACUUGGCUAGCUAACAGUAGCUAGACUAACUGAUGUGAAGUAGGCGUUAUGAAUUUCCCUCCCAAUAUUUCUACAUGCCUCAUUUAAAUGUGUUAUGAAUAAAUCUAGGGUAAUCAAUCAUAAUAACGGUAUUCAUUUUAAAAUGUUGACAUGUUUUUGUAUUACUUA
rnacentral:lncRNA from 8 species